GGUAGCCACGGGAGGCAGCAGUAGGGAAUCUUCCACAAUGGGCGAAAGCCUGAUGGUGCAACGCCGCGUGGGUGAAGAAGGUCUUCGGAUCGUAAAAUCCUGUUGUUAGAGAAGAAAGUGCGUGAGAGUAACUGUUCACAUUUCGACGGUAUCUAACCAGAAAGCCACGGCUAACUACGUGCCAGCAGCCGCGGUAAUACGUAGGUGGCAAGCGUUAUCCGGAUUUAUUGGGCGUAAAGGGAACGCAGGCGGUCUUUUAAGUCUGAUGUGAAAGCCUUCGGCUUAACCGGAGUAGUGCAUUGGAA
rnacentral:rRNA from 1 species